rnacentral:tRNA from 1 species
GUUCUUAUAGUUGAAUAACAACGAUAGUUUUUCAGAUUGUUGGUCUUAGUUAAAAUCUAGGUAAGAAUA